AUUGAACGCUGGCGGCAGGCCUAACACAUGCAAGUCGAGCGGUAGAGAGGAGUUUGCUUCCCUUGAGAGCGGCGGACGGGUGAGUAAUGCCUAGGAAUCUGCCUAUUAGUGGGGGACAACAUUCCAACAGGAAUGUUAAUACCGCCUACGUCAUACGGGGGAAAGAAGGGGAUUUUCGGACCUUGCGCUAACAGAUGAGCCGACGUCAGAUUAGCUAGUUGGUGGGGUAAGGGGCUACCAAGGCGACGAUCUGUAACGGGUCUGAGAGGGUGGUCCGCCAAACUGGGACUGAGACACGGCCCAGACUCCUACGGGAGGGAGCAGUGGGGAAUAUUGGACAAUGGGCGAAAGCCUGAUCCAGCCAUGCCGCGUGUGGGAAGAAGGCCUUUUGGUUGUAAAGCACUUUAAGCGGGGAGGAGGCUGCUUGGAUUAAUACUCUAGGAUAAUGGACGUUACUCGCAGAAUAAGCACCGGCUAACUCUGUGCCAGCAGCCGCCGUAAAAC
rnacentral:rRNA from 1 species